UCUCCGUGAUGAACAAAUUACAGAUGACGAGUCUGAUCUAAUUCCAUUCUAUUCCCGUGACGACAAAUCGAGGCAUUUGUCUGAGAGAA